GACGAACGCUGGCGGCGUGUUUAACACAUGCAAGUCGAACGGAAAGGCCCUGCUUUUGUGGGGUGCUGGAGUGGCGAACGGGUGAGUAACACGUGAGUAGCCUGCCCUUUACUUUGGGAGAACUUCAGGAAACAGGGGCUAUUACCGGGUAUGAGCUCCUGCUGCAUGGGGGGGAUGGGAGAGAUUGGGCGGUUUGGGAUGGACUGGCGGGUUAGCAGCGUGUUAGUGGGGUAGUGGCUUAACAAGGCAUUGACGGGUAGCCGGCCUGAGAGGGUGACCGGCCACAUUGGCACUGAGAUACGGCCCAGACUCGUACGGGCGGCAGCGGUGGGGAAUAUUGCACAAUGGGCGGAAGCCGGAUGCAGCAACUCCGCGUGCGGGAUGACGGCCUUCGGGUUGUAAACCGCUUUCGCCUGUGACGAAGCGUGAGUGACGGUAAUGGGUAAAGAAGCACCGGCUAACUACGUG
rnacentral:rRNA from 1 species